ACCUAACUGAAGAUUCCCAAAUAGGACGAAACGCGCGUCCAACUGGAU
rnacentral:hammerhead_ribozyme from 1 species